GAUGAAGAACGUAGCGAAAUGCGAUACUUGGUGUGAAUUGCAGAAUCCCGUGAACCAUCGAGUCUUUGAACGCAAGUUGCGCCCGAAGCCAUUAGGCCGAGGGCACGCCUGCCUGGGCGUCACACGUCGUUGCCCCCCCAUCUACUCCUUCGGGAUUGCGGGGGGCGGAUGAUGGCCUCCCGUGCGCCUCGUCGCGCGGUUGGCAUAAAUGCCAAGUCCUCGGCGACGCACGCCACGACAAUCGGUGGUUGCGAAACCUCGGUUGCCCGUCGUGUGCGGUCGUCGCGCAUCGAGGGCUCGAAAAAAUUGCCGGGCUCCGGCUCGGCUUUCAACGCGACCCCAGGUCAGGCGGGGUUACCCGCUGAAUUUAAGUAUAUCAAUAAGCGGAGGA
rnacentral:misc_RNA from 1 species